ACCUUCGGCAGCAGAUAUACUAUAAAAUUGGAAUGAUAUAGAGAAGAUUAGCUUGGCCCCUGUCCGAGGAUGACAUGCAAAUUCAUGAAACAUAAAAUCAUGAGCUUUUUUU